AAUCAACGCUGGCGGCGUGCCUCAGACAUGCAAGUCGAACGCGAAAGUCCCCUUCGGGGGGCAAGUAGAGUGGCGCACGGGUGAGUAACACGUAGGUAAUCUACCUUUGGAUGGGGAAUAACAAUCGGAAACGAUUGCUAAUACCGCAUAAUGCAGCGGCACCUAAUGGUGACAGUUGUUAAAGCGGGGGAUCGAAAGACCUCGCGUCUGAAGAGGAGCCUGCGGCGGAUUAGCUAGUUGGUAAGGUAAUGGCUUACCAAGGCUACGAUCCGUAACCGGCCUGAGAGGGCGGUCGGUCACACUGACACUGACAUACGGGUCAGACUCCUACGGGAGGCAGCAGUCGGGAAUUUUGGGCAAUGGGCGAAAGCCUGACCCAGCAACGCCGCGUGAAGGAUGAAAUCCCUCGGGAUGUAAACUUCGCAAGAACGGGAAGAAUAAGUAGGGGUCAAUACCCCUAUGAUGACGGUACCGUUUGUAAGCUCCGGCUAACUCCGUGCCAGCAGCCGC
rnacentral:rRNA from 1 species